rnacentral:misc_RNA from 1 species
AAUUAGUAAAAGCUCCCUGAUAUGAAGCAACUUGCUAUAAAAUAGUGAAUUUUGCUCUUAAAAAAUUUUAUGCACUAGCUCAAGUCAUGACCAUAAUACACAGCAGUUUCUUUCACUCAGGGCUAUCAAAAUUGCAAAUGAUACCUUCAAAGUGUUGUGCAAGUUUAGGACUUUGAUCCAAAAUAUGGAUAAGCAUUAGAAUUCUGAGAAACAUUGACUAAAAAAAAUCUUGGAAAUUUAUCCCAGAAAAGAAGCUUUUUCAAGCAAUCUCUUUCAUUAUGCAGGAUUAUAUAAGUCACCAUCA